UACGAAGGGGGCUAGCGUUGCUCGGAAUCACUGGGCGUAAAGCGCACGUAGGCGGCUUUCUAAGUCAGGGGUGAAAUCCUGGAGCUCAACUCCAGAACUGCCUUUGAUACUGGAGAGCUUGAGUCCGGAAGAGGUGAGUGGAACUCCGAGUGUAGAGGUGAAAUUCGUAGAUAUUCGGAAGAACACCAGUGGCGAAGGCGGCUCACUGGUCCGGUACUGACACUGAUGUGCGAAAGCGUGGGGAGCAAACAGG
rnacentral:rRNA from 1 species